GACGAACGCUGGCGGCGUGCUUAACACAUGCAAGUCGAACGGAAAGGCCCUGCUUUUGUGGGGUGCUCGAGUGGCGAACGGGUGAGUAACACGUGAGUAACCUGCCCUUGACUUUGGGAUAACUUCAGGAAACUGGGGCUAAUACCGGAUAGGAGCUCCUGCUGCAUGGUGGGGGUUGGAAAGUUUCGGCGGUUGGGGAUGGACUCGCGGCUUAUCAGCUUGUUGGUGGGGUAGUGGCUUACCAAGGCUUUGACGGGUAGCCGGCCUGAGAGGGUGACCGGCCACAUUGGGACUGAGAUACGGCCCAGACUCCUACGGGAGGCAGCAGUGGGAAAUAUUGCACAAUGGGCGGAAGCCUGAUGCAGCAACGCCGCGUGCGGGAUGACGGCCUUCGGGUUGUAACCCGCUUUCGCCUGUGACGAAGCGUGAGUGACGGUAAUGGGUAAAGAAGCACCGGCUAACUACGUG
rnacentral:rRNA from 1 species